ACCCCUUUCAACGGCUCUCCUUGGCUUCACUCCAUUUCUCAUAUGCUAUGUUCUCUGCUCUUCUGUCUCCGCCGUUACUCAUCUCCUGUCCUCUUUAAAUCUUCUCGCCGACGCUUUAUCUCCUCCUUAGCCACUACCAUCAUGGCGGCUUCGCAUCCAAAAGACGAAGCGUAUCUCAAAGCCGUAAUCGACAAACGCAUCAAGCUCUUUGAAUCCAUUAAGUCUCAGCAACUCGCUAGCCUUCAAUCUCUAAACCACGACACUAUCAAGAUUACAUUGCCAGAUGGUACGGUGAAGGAAGGGAAGAAAUGGUUAUCGUCUCCUAUGGAUAUUGCUAAGGAGAUUUCUAAGAGUUUGGCGGCUAAUGCGUUGAUUGCACAAGUUGAUGGAACCCUUUGGGACAUGAAUAGGCCAUUAGAGUGCGAUUGUGAGCUUAAGCUUUUCACAUUUGAUAGUGAUGAAGGACGCGACACGUUUUGGCACUCUAGUGCUCACAUUCUUGGCCAGUCACUGGAGGCGACCUAUGGUUGCAAGCUUUGCAUUGGACCCUGUACCACGAGAGGAGAGGGAUUCUAUUAUGAUGCAUUCUAUGGUGAAUUGGGUCUGAAUGAUGAACAUUUUAAACAAAUUGAAGCUGGGGCACUGAAAGCAGUUGCGGAGAAGCAACCUUUUGAGCGCAUCGAAGUGUCAAGGGAACAAGCAUUAGAGAUCUUUUCAGAAAAUAAUUUUAAGGUUGAAAUCAUCAAUGAUCUUCCUGCAGACAAAACUAUAACUGUAUACAGAUGUGGCCCAUUGGUAGAUUUAUGUCGAGGUCCCCAUAUACCAAAUACAUCCUUUGUGAAAGCAUUUGCGUGUUUGAAGGCUUCAUCAGCUUAUUGGAGGGGUAACAAAGAUCGAGAAAGCUUACAGAGAGUUUAUGGGAUAUCCUAUCCGGACCAAAAACGUUUGAAGGAGUAUAUCCAACAGUUGGAAGAAGCAAAGAAGUAUGACCACAGAUUGUUGGGCACAAAGCAGGAGCUUUUCUUUUGUCACCCAUUGAGUCCUGGAAGUUGGUUUUUCCUUCCUUAUGGAACUCGAAUUUAUAACAAACUAGUGGAAUUUAUUCGAGCUCAAUACAGAGAUAGAGGCUAUGAAGAGGUCAAGUCUCCAAAUAUUUACAACAUGAAACUUUGGGAGACUUCUGGCCAUGCUGCAAAUUAUAAGGAAAAUAUGUUUUUGCUCGAGAUUGAAAAGCAGGAGUUUGGCCUGAAACCAAUGAAUUGCCCAGGGCACUGUUUAAUUUUUCAACAUAGAGUCCGCUCAUAUAGAGAACUUCCUCUUCGGCUGGCUGAUUUCGGGGCCUUGCAUCGCAAUGAGGCCAGUGGAGCACUUACUGGAUUAACACGCGUUCGGAGAUUUCAGCAGGAUGAUGCUCAUAUAUUCUGCAGGGAAUCACAGAUAAAAGCUGAAGUGAUGGGCGUCUUAGAAUUCAUUGAUUAUGCCUAUAAAGUAUUUGGUUUUACUUAUGAUCUGAAGCUAUCUACGAGGCCAGAGAAAUAUCUAGGAAAGUUGGAAACAUGGGAGAAAGCUGAGGAUGCUCUUAAACUAGCAUUGGAUGAGUUUGGGAAACCUUGGCAGAUUAAUGAAGGUGAUGGAGCUUUUUAUGGACCUAAGAUAGAUAUUAGUGUUUCUGAUGCUCUGAACAGGAAAUUUCAGUGUGCCACGUUGCAGCUUGACUUCCAGCUUCCGGAUCGUUUUGAGUUAGAGUACUCAGCAGAAGAUGAAGCCAAGAGGGAAAGACCCGUUAUGAUACACAGAGCCAUCCUAGGGUCUGUGGAGCGAAUGUUUGCCAUUCUAUUGGAACAUUACAAGGGGAAAUGGCCUUUCUGGCUUAGUCCUCGUCAAGCAAUUGUCUGCCCUGUCUCUGAGAAAUCCCAGCCAUAUGCAGAGCAGGUGCAGGCUCAGAUACAUAAAGCUGGUUAUCAUGUUGAUGUUGACACAACUGACAGAAAGAUUCAGAAAAAGGUGCGGGAAGCUCAGUUGGCACAGUACAACUUUAUAUUGGUCGUGGGUGAAGAGGAAGCCAAAACUGGACAGGUGAGUGUACGAGUGAGAGACAAGGGUGAUCACUCAGUAAUGAGCAUGGAGAGCCUACUGAAACACUUCGAAGAUGAGGUGGCUGCAUUUCAUUAGAUGGGAAAACAUUGAAGUGACUGUGUUGUGAUAUUUCAGUUGAUGAAAAGGUUUGUUUUUCAGAAAUUCGGACAUUUUGAACUUGGACCUACAAGCAGCGAAUUCGAAGAAAAUAAAAAUGAAAGCCAAUGAUAUCCUGAAAUGACGAGGAUUAGUCAAUGUCGAGAAAACUGUCAUCCUGAUUUCAAACCUAGGCAUCAGAAUGUAUAUACAAAUUUGAUCUUGCUAUUCACAUAUCGAUGGUUUCGUUGGAUAAGUAAUUUAUAUUUGAUAAAUUAAAUUUGCAA